rnacentral:rRNA from 1 species
CCUACGGGAGGCAGCAGUGAGGAAUAUUGGUCAAUGGGCGCGAGCCUGAACCAGCCAAGUAGCGUGAAGGAUGACUGCCCUACGUGUUGUAAACUUCUUUUAUCAAGGAAUAAAGUGAGGCACGCGUGCCUUUUUGUAUGUACUUUAUGAAUAAGGAUCGGCUAACUCCGUGCCAGCAGCCGCGGUAAUACGGAGGAUCCGAGCGUUAUCCGGAUUUAUUGGGUUUAAAGGGAGCGUAGUUGGGUUGUUAAGUCAGUUGUGAAAGGUUGCGGCUUAACCGUCAAAUUGCAGUUGAUACUGGCAGUCUUGAGUACAGUUGAGGUAGGCGGAAUGCGUGGUGUAGCGGUGAAAUGCUUAGAUAUCACGAAGAACUCCGAUUGCGAAGGCAGCUUACUAACCUGACACUGACGUUGAGGCUCGAAAGUGUGGGUAUCAAACAGGAUUAGAUACCCUUGUAGUC